GUACAAUAAGCUAAGUAAGGGCGUAUGGGGGAUGCCUAGGCUCUCAGAGGCGAAGAAGGACGUGAUAAGCUGCGAUAAGCUGCGGGGAGUGGCACAUACACUAUGAUCCGCAGAUUUCCGAAUGGGGCAACCCACUAUAUUGAAGAUAUAGUAUCCGUUAAGGAGGCGAACCCGGAGAACUGAAACAUCUAAGUACCCGGAGGAGAAGAAAACAAAAGUGAUUCCGCUAGUAGUGGCGAGCGAACGCGGAUUAGCCCAAACCAAUGUUGUUACGGCAAUAUUGGGGUUGUAGGACCACGAUAUUGGAUGCUUAAUGAACUGGAACACUUUGGAAAGAGUGGCCAUAGAGGGUGAUAGUCCCGUAUAGGUAAGGACAGUUAUUGAUAGUGGUAUCCUGAGUAGCGCGGGGCACGUGAAACCCUGUGUGAAUCUGGCGGGACCAUCCGCUAAGGCUAAAUACUCCUGAGAGACCGAUAGUGAACUAGUACCGUGAGGGAAAGGUGAAAAGAACCCUGAAUAAGGGAGUGAAAUAGAACCUGAAACCAUACGCUUACAAGCGGUCGGAGCGCGUUUUACGUGUGACGGCGUGCCUUUUGCAUAAUGAGCCUACGAGUUACCGUUUCUAGCAAGGUUAAGCACUUCAGGUGCGGAGCCGUAGCGAAAGCGAGUCUGAAUAGGGCGAUUAAGUUAGUGGCGGUAGACGCGAAACCGUGUGAUCUACCCAUGGGCAGGGUGAAGCUGUGGUAACACACAGUGGAGGCCCGAACCCGUUGACGUUGAAAAGUCUUGGGAUGACCUGUGGGUAGGGGUGAAAGGCCAAUCA
rnacentral:rRNA from 1 species